UCCUCUCCUCUACCUCCUGCUCACUCAUCUCCUCUCCCCUACCUCAGUUGGGUAUUGCCGGCGGCGAGCAGGAGCAGCCAUUGGUACGUGAGGAGUUCUCCCUCCCCUCCCCUGUCCUCCCCUUCAUUCCAUUCAUAUUCCUAGCAUCUUUCCCUAGAUGAAGAACAUUCUCUUCCUUUUUUUGGAUUUUGGUGCUUGGAUCUGUUCUCUCCCUCAAAUCAAGGUAUAGAUCCGAAAUCCCUCUUUGUUACAGCAUAUGGAUUGAUGAUGGAUAUAGAUUGCUAGAAAUACUUGUAGAUCUAGCUGUCAUGUGUUACUGUUUUUGCAAAAAUCGGUAGGUAAGACAUAGUUUAUACCUAUGCGUGCCUCUUUUUCUUGCCUGUAUAUGCCUGUAUAUGCCGUACAUGUCCGGAGCACCUAUUUUUCUUGCCAAAAAUCAGAUUGCUCACUAUACCAGAUUAGCUUGCAUUUCUUUUGUUUUGUUUUUGAAACUUUCACACAUGUUCGUGCUUCCCGUUGGUCAUGUAGAUGGAGAAGAGGAAGAUUAAAAGGAGAAAAUUAGCUCUGAUGCUCAUUGUUAGCUGCACCACAUAUGUGACUUCUUGUAUGGUGGUUCUAUUUAUGAUGUCUAGAGUACAAAGUAAAAGUAAAAGAAAGCGUAUUACCUACGGACCAAUAGAGGAGAGGGAUAAAUCUAGGAUCGACUAUCUCAAUAUAAAAAUUUAUAAGGAUGAUACAGCCUCCACUAAAAUGAUAAGGUUUAAGAGAAAACUUUUCUUUCGAUUGUGUCAACUUUUGAGGGAACGAACUUUGCUCCAUGACACUGUACAUGUAUGCAUCGAGGAGUAGGUUGCUAUGUUCUUGAAUACAGUUGGACACAACCUAAAGAAUAGGGUAGUUGGUUCACUAGAUCUGGUGAAACAGUUAGUCGAUAUUUUGGAUUAGUUCUUCAUACAAUAGCCCAGCUAAGCAGUGAGCUUAUUCAACCACCCUCACUGGAGACCCCAGCUAAAAUUGCAGGAAAUCCAAGAUGGAAUCCAUACUUUAAGGAUUCCUCGAACAACACCUAGCUAACAAGCACAGGACCAUAGAUUCAUGGUUGAGAAGAGGCGAUUGAUUGCUGAAACAAUGUGGGCAGAUCGCCAAAACUAUUAUGCUCAUCAAGUGUAACAAGGAACCAUGUUCUCAAAUAAUGUAUCAGCUUUUUGUGUUUUGUUAUCUGAAAUUAAUAUGCCUUUAUGUAAUAUGAACAAUUGUGAUGUUGGAAUAUAUUUUUGUUGUUUUGUAAUGAAUAAAUUUUUGUUGGGUGAACUAUGUUCAUUUCUUUUGCUACUUGAUUAUGAAUGUAUGUCUUGCUUUGUUAUGUUGUAGAUGGAUAUGGAACAAUAGGGGGACAACAUGGUUGCAAAUGGUGGAGGUGUUGUCCAGUGGCCAAGUGCCGUGUCAAGUUUCAUGCUUACCUACUUAUCUCAGCUUGUAGCCAGUGGCACUAAAACUUAUACAGGCUUUAAGCAAGUUCAUCUUAAUGCAUGUGCAAAGGCUUUGAAUGAGACUAUGAGUACGCAUUACACUGGUACUCAUGUUGGUAACCAUCUCAGAAAAUGGAAAAGGAUUUAUGCAAAGAUUGAGAAGCUAAAAAACUUGAGUGGAGCUCUUUGGGUUCAAGAAACUUGCACAAUAUCCCUUGAGAAAGAGCAUUACAUUGGUCAUGUUUAGGACCACUGUGAUGAUGCCAAAUACUUGAACACUCCAAUUGAGCACUAUCAUAAGAUGGCCACUAUUUUUGGCAAUAGUUUGGCUACUGGUGCCUGGUGCAUAUGCUAAGGGAGCAUAUGAUCCUCUUGCCACAGUGGUGACUGAAACAGAGAAUGCACCAAAAGACACUGAAGAUGGUGCGGCAACAACUGAACAAGUAGAAGCAGAUGAUGCAACUACUGGGGAAUCGUAUGGUACAAAACCACUAGCACCAAAGAAAGCUAAAGUGGCCAAUCUUGAAGACCCAACCAUGGCAAUGGUGGCUAUGUUAGGUACACAUCUGGAUGACUAUUAUGCUCAUUUGUGCGAACAUCCACGUGAAGCAAGGCAGUUUUACAAGCUGCCGACACUGUCAAGUAAAAUGAUAUGGGUGGCAAGGUACAUCAAAAAGUACCUUUCUGAUGGUGGUCUGUAGGUGGUAGUGCAGUCUAAUAUAUAUUUUGCUAACCACAAAAACUAUAAUUAUGGUGGUUAAUGGCAUGUAAGUCUAAGUGCUGGUACUUCUUAUUAGAGUCUGUCAAGCUAGUAUAUAUUUUGCUAACCACAAAUACUAUAAUUGUGGUGGUUAAUGGUAUAUAAGUCUAAGUGCUGGUACUGCUA